GUAGAAAUACCGGUUCUUCCUGUGUUUCAACCAAUAACAGGUUUCAGUAGGGAAAGGUGAAUUAAGUCAAUCAGCUGUUUACUUUUUGAUUCCUUCAGGAGAUAAUAAAGAGCUGCUGUGUGUUAAGAAGCCAGAGACUUUAGUAUUCAAAUAAUAUCAGCAUAAAGAGCAACUGGCCAAGAACCAGACAUUAUAGCUUGUUUCCUUAUUUUUAAAUUACCUCUUUUUUCUUUGACAACUGCAUGGCUACACCCAGAAAAGCAGUGAUUAUAUCCAGAACCCAGAGAGGUCCCUCAUAACAUGAAAAUGUUGUGACAUCAUAGUCCUUGGUUAAGGAAAUUAUAAUGAUGGCAGAGAUUAAAGCCACAGUAUAAGACAGGCAAGGGAAGAGAAGAGCCUCAGAAGAGAGUUUCUUGCUCAAAAAAAGCAUUAAAACUUUCUUUUUUUGAGGGAGAAUUGUUAAAAGAUGCUGAAUGCUGUUCUGUCCAGAUGACAAAACUGCAGAAAUACAGCUGUUGUUGUAUCUCGGGAGUAUCAAAGGAGGCAUCAACCAAAGUGGAUAAAUUUACUUUGACAUUUAAACACUUCUUGUUGUGUGAGAAGGGCUUGCUUGUGUUGUGCUGCUGGAUGGAGACAGUGGCCAUAGCUACCCCACUGCAUUAG
rnacentral:lncRNA from 1 species